rnacentral:lncRNA from 1 species
AGUUCAGGCGCGAGGCAAGCAGCCGAGGUCCGGGGCUGCGGCCGCGGCCGGGGCGGACCCGGGAGCUGGGCUUCCCAAAGCGUCGCGUGUGGGCAACGGCGGCCUCCUGGCCGCGUGGAACUGAGCCCUGCGCUGCAGCAUGAAGGCGGCGGCGGCGGCGGCGGCGGGCGCGCGGCCGUGAGCUCAGCCCGCGCUGCAGUGACGGGAGCGGCCGUGUCGGCCAGACCCCGAGAGUCCGUGAGACCCCGGCCGGGGCCGCUCCGCUGCUGUCAGCCCUCGGGCCUCCCAGCCAGACUGGUUCUGAACCGAUUUAUCAGGGGGUUGCGGAGAGGGCCGGCGAAGCGCCAGGAAAUCCCCAGGCUGAGGAGGCGCGGGGGCGUUGCAGGAAGGGGGAAGGGAAAAGGCAGAAAACCUGGAGAAUGAAAGCGAACUUCCAGGGGCGUCCCCAGCCUCCUGCAAAAGGGCAAUUUGCUGAUCGCCCACUUCCUCGCAGUUACGGGAUAGAGAGAAUCAUCACUGAGUCAAGCUUCGGCUGCUUAGGGCGGUGGGAAAAGUCAUUAUCUAUAAUAACCCGCCGGAAAUUUUGAGGAGAGCUACUGACUUGGGGGUUUCAGUCAUCUGAGGCUGGCUUCCGCUGUCCCCUUAGUUGUGGGUGGUGAUUUGCUUACUAAUCAGAUGGGAGCGGAUUCUGAAAAGAACAUUUAUAUUUGGGAAUCAACUCAGCUCAGCAUCAGACAUUACGAAUACUGCAGUUGGUCACAUUUUACUAUGUGAAGGGCAGAAAGGGAGCCCAACAGUCUUCAUAAGCCAGACCUAGUCUCUAAGGUCACCGGCACAGACGCAGGGUCUAAAGCAGGAAAGAGGUGCGACUGGAAAGGAGGUUAGACAGGGCCCUGCGGGAAUGGAUCUGCCCGGAGCCCUCGCCUGGUUUUGCUUGAGACUCCGACAAGACUCCCAAUGCUUCUCUCCCCGACCCUAUCCCCACUCCCUCCAUCCUGGAAAAGCCAGUGAGCAAAGUUAACUCUUUCUUCUAAGAAACCCUGAGUGAAAUCUUGCUCUUCCUUUCUGCUAGAGUCCUGAAACCCUUUCGCUUCUCAUUGUGGGUUCACCAGCACGUGGUCUUCGGACACUGAGAGCACCUUCGCUCUCAGCUGUGAUCCUAGCUAGCCCAGACACCAGUCUGUACCCAAAGGAAGAGUAGGAAGUUGCAAAGGGAAGCUGGCUAACAAGGGCUUCUUCUGCCCUACUUGGCAAAGGCCCAUACGGGUGGCCUCCGUGGAUAUGGAGCUCCUUCAUUUUGUUCCAAAAAGAGCUCUGCCAGGCUUUACCAUUGCCCUGGAGGUGCACAGGCGCCCGUAUACUCGAGCACAACCAUGGGCUCACCCCAAGCGCGCACACCUGCACCCACGCGUAAGGAAGAACCACACAGCUAUCUCUGUCGGGGAAGAACACGAGGAGUGAAGUGCUUUAGGUGGAAACUCCUCACAUCUCCUUUCUUUCCUCUGCUCCCCCUCUCUGCCCCUGGUACUCCGGAUCCAAUCCUUGGCUUAGGAAUCCACUCAAGCCACGUCUGGCUGCUUUGUUCCAGAGGAGCGCAGCUCCGAGACUGCACUUCAGCGGUGCAGCCUCCCUCCAGGUCGGCGAGCGGCGCCAGAUCCGGGACUUCAGGGUCUCCGCGGGAGCUUAGGAGGCUCAGGAUCUGAGUUGGAGAGCUGGAAGGCCAAACUCCGAGCCGCUGAGGGACUGCGCAGGAAGACCACAGAAAUAAACCAAAGGGACACCGCGGACAGAUGUACCAGAGGACACCACUGAAGUCCAGGAGAAUCUCCACCAAAACCAUCAGCGUUUUCCUUGUAGCUUUCUGUCCCUCGAAGUGGAAAGUUGAGGUUUCUGAGAAGUCCACGGAGAGAACCUGCAGCAAACUGAAGCCACAGACUCCGAAGGCAUAGGGAGAAAAAAUGCUUCCAUCCCCCUUUCACUUUAAACUUGAUCGCUUCUGGGACUUCACUGGAGGGCGGUGGAGUUGCACCAACCUGGAGUACAGGCAGAUCCCAGCGAGCACUUCCAAGUACUUUAGGACGUGGGGGUGACUCUUUUUUCUUCAGGAUUGUCCCACUUGCCACCCUUUCCAGCUGAGCUGAUAGGAACCAAUGAAAGUCUAGGCGAUGAGGAUUUUCCGUUACCUCAGGGAUCAAAGUAUAAAAUGUUGAAUGAGAAACCCGAAGACCUUGCAUCGCUGGGCUGAAUAACUUGUUUUCUUUUUUAUGGUGUCCAGACUGAGGUAGGGAGGGGACACACUGACCUAGCUGUAAGAAGUCAAGGGUUGGGACAAAACAAAGUUCAAAUAUAUACUGGAAUUUGUGUGUGUGUGUGUUUCAGAAACUGUGUGUGUGUGUGUGUGUGUGUGUGUGUGUGUGUGUUUUCAGCUUGAGAAAGAUGAAAUCACGUUUCCUUAAUGCUGGGAGUAAUAAUGCUUAAUGCUUAACUUUUCAUUGUUCUUUCAUGUUUCAAGCCCUACCAGGCCCAGGAAAACACUUCUUUCCGUUUCCUGUAGCCUUCCUGCGUAUCAUGCAUUAUAUUUGAAAGUGCUUUCCUCUACUUUCCUCAUUUUAUCUCAAUAAUCUCUGCUAAAACCAGAUAACUUUCACCCUCCCGGUUCAGCAUUUGCUCUUUUCCCUCCUACACAAGCUGAUUAGAAUUUGCAAAGAGAGAGGAAGAAGAAAGGUUCUAUUUUGUUUCAUGAUUGUUGCUAGAAAACGGCAAGACCUCGGGAGAGAGACCAGCAUAUUAUUUCCCAGUGGAUGUCAGAGCUAGCAAAGUUUUUUUUUUUUCUUUAAAUUUUAUUCCCUAGCAGGUCAAAAACUAGUAUGUUUGCAAGAACAAUUUCUAGUUUGCUCAUAAAACUAUUGUUAUUAGCCACUCUAAGGUUGGCAUACUUUUAAAAGUUCAAACAAGUUCCUUCUAGAAUAGGGUUCUUUUAAACAUUAACAUUUAAAAAGAAGUAAUUUUUUUCAUAAAUAAUUUAGAUUUAACUCUUUACCUCUAUAGUAUAUCUGCCUUACUUCGUUAAUGUGUCCCCUGAUUUACUGCCUAUGUCAAAGCACUUUUAAAAUAAUGUCAAUUUUCUUGUUCUCCCAGUUCAUUUUUCUGAGGACCAAUGGUGAUAAGUGUUGGUCUGCCUAUCUUCCCAGAAUAAUCCAAGAUUUGGGGAAAGAAAGAGUAUUUUGCUAAUUUCAGGUAAUUAAUGGAGAUAUGAAUGUUUUUCAGUUAAAGUGAUGAAUAUCAAAAGAUUACCUGAGUUUCUGUUUAUAUUGUUAUUUAAUAUUUGAGUUUCUCUUUAAGGUAGUAAAAAAGUUAUGAUCUAGUUUUUUUUAAUGGCGUUAACAAUUAGUUUGCACAUCUUAUGCAUUUUAUUUACAUGGAUUAAAGUAUGUGGUAAGUUAUCACUUUAAUUCAUAAAUUUGUUUUAUAUGUAACUGAAGAAGCUUAUUGUAAAUUGGAAAUACCUUACCUUCAAAUUUCCUGGGUGAGAAAUCACUAUUGAGUUAUUUCUACUUUGAUUAUUUUUACUAAUAUAAUGUAAUAUAAGUUAUCUGACAGUUCAAGACUGGAAAUUGGUAUGAAGAAACAAGGAAAUACAAGUUUCUGAAAUGAAGGGAUAUCAUUCAAAACAAAUCUGAGUUAAACAGAAGAAAUGAAAUCCAAACAUUGACAUUUUUUUAAUCUACAUAGUUUUGAAAUAUAAAACGAAAUGUGCUUAUAUUAGGAGCAUGUUUCCAAUGUUGCAACUGACCUUGAACUCCUAGAACACAGUGUAUUUUAGCAACUAGAUCUCACCAAAAUAUAUAUUUCAACUGACUUCAAUACAGAGUUGAAGACCCCAGCAUAUUUCUGGCAUACAUAGGUAAACAGAUUUCUCAUUGGAACAAAAAGAACCAAAUGUAUUUAGUAUUUAAUCUUCUUUUGAGUUACAGAAAUAUUUUUUCUUGUUUCUUGAUUUUUUAAACUUGAUUUAUAUAAAACACAUUUCCUUUCCUUUCUUUCUGUAUCUCUGUUGUAGAUUUUAACCUUUAUAGAUCAUAAUAGUGAACUAAAAGAUCAAGGUCUACUUGAUGAAAACUGGAACUAGCCCUGGGAACCCAAUAAAUUACUGGACAGAAGUAGACAUUUAUUUUACUAAGAAAAAUGGUUUUUGAACCUAAUUUUUUGAAACACAAAUACAAUGUGUUUCAGAGAUUAUGUCCUCAGCAGAGACUUGAGAGAGCUCAGAGGAAAGGAAUUACUUCAGAGAUAAGCAUUGCUGUAGAGAAAGGACAUUUCUUAAUACUGAAAGUUAGAAGUAAAUUUUAUCUUUCAUCUCCAUUCAUAUUUUUUUCUUGCUUAUUUGCUGAUACCUUGAUGUUAACUCCCCAUAUUUGUCUGGUGCUCCCAUUUAGUUAUCCAAGGGCCCCAAAAUGCAUCAUGCUCUCGAGGGCUAUCUGACCCAAAGAAGAAUUCUAAGCUAUUACAAUUUCUACUUCUCAUCAAAACUCCAUUGAGUCAUAGUAGAUAAAUCUAAUUGAGCUUUUAAUAAAAAAUAAAUUAUAUCAGACUAAUUUAAGCUAAAGUAUGAAUGACUAGCAGCCUACAUCAGGAAUAUGAAGCCAACUUAAUUUAUAAAAAGUAGACUUUCUGGCAAAUUGUGUUAAUACAUAUGGGAAGCAGGGGCACCUCAAUCAUUCUUAGCCUUGAAUACCAAAUUGAAUAAGCAUGGUACUAUAUUUUAUAUUUUCCUUUUUUGUAUCUUUGAUAAUGCUAUUGAACAAUUAUUCACACCUAGCUUUAGCCUUUGAAAGAAAUAUUUUUUUAAUUUAUGUGUGUGUAUAGAUGGCAUUUCAAAAAGAUUUCCACUAGAUAGUGAAACUGUUCUCUAAAAUGAAUCUAGUCGUAAAGCAAUUAUCUUAAAAAUAAAACAUCAGAGUAAUUGUUGUUAUGACUUGAUUUAGGAGUUCAGGUAGGCGCACCAAAUCAUAUUAGGUAGAAGUAAUAAGCUGUUUGAAUGUCUAUGGAAUUCAUUUCUUCAACAUACUUAUGUUAAAAGCCUGAUUAAGAACUAUUGUCGUGCCGGACCCCUAUUAACUCCAAUAGGGAUGAUAUCUGACAUCGUGUCUGAGAGGCAGAAGGAGAGACCCUGAGCCAAUGAAUCAGACACAGCAUUUAUUGAGGAAUUAUAUAUAGUUCAGGCCAGGAGUGGUGGGCUGGACAGGAAAACUGCUACUGUUUAUAAAAAGCAUACAGGAUAUGUAGCAUUUUCAUUUAGGAAUCUCUAGCUAGCAACCUCCGUUUUACCCAAAACAAACGUCCUCAGUCCCCUUUAUGGCCUGAGUUCCAAGGUAUGGGUGAGGGGUUCAGAAGUCCUCCAUCCUUAAGGAGUGAAUCUCCAGGUUGGCCACUCCUGAAUUUCUUAGGUCAGAACUCCAAACAAACCUUCUUCUUACACCAUAGGGACCUUCUCAGGGUAUGCUUGAGUUAUUGCUAUCAAGUGCAUCUGCUGUACAAUUACAUAACAAAGAUUUGGCUUCUUAGCUUUAGUUUUACAGGUUUUAUUUUUUUAACUUCUAUUUUUUCUUUUAUUAUUUAUUUAUUAAUUAUUUUUUGAGAUGGAGCUUUCACUCCGUCACCCAGGCUGGAGUGCAGUGGCACGAUCUCGGCUCACUGCAACCUCCACCUCCCAGAGUCAAGCGAUUCUCCUGCCUCAGCCUCCCGAGUAGCUGGGAUUACAGGCGUCUACGACCACGCCCAGCUAACUUUUUAUAUUUUUAGUAGAGACUGGGUUUCACCAUGUUGGCCAGGCUGAUCUCGAAUUCCUGAACUCAGGUGAUCCACCCGCCUUGGUCUCCCAAAGUGCUGGGAUUACAGGUGUGCGCCACCGCGCCCAGCUUUUAACUUUUAUUUUACGUUCACGAGUAUAUGUGCAGGUUUGUUACACAGGUAAACUUGUGUCAUGGGGGUUCAUUGUACAGAUUAUUUCACAACCCAAGCAUUAAGCCCAGUAUCCAUUAGUUAUUUUUCCUGAUCCUCUCCCUCCUCCCACCUUCCACCCUCCCAAAGGCUCCAGUGUAUGUUGUUUCCCUCUGUGUCCAUGUGUUCUUAUCAUUUAACUCCCACUUAUAAGUGAGAACAUGUGGUAUUUGGUUUCCUGUUCCUGUAUUGCUUUGCUAUGGAUAAUGGCUUCCAGCGCCAAAUUAGAAAACUGAAUCUGUCUUCAAGUUUGAGGCAGAUUCAGCUUCUUAAUUAUUCAUCUUGAAACUCUGUCCUUGAAUUUCAGGCAGGUGGCCACAAGUCGGCAGUAAUGAGACACUCUCAUGUGGUUGUAACCACAUGGUUGGACUUUCUUACAAGCCCCCAUAGAUUUAGAAGGAAGAAUUAAUUUUAAUUUAUUUUAU